rnacentral:rRNA from 1 species
GACGAACGCUGGCGGCGCGCUUAACACAUGCAAGUCGAACGGAAAGGCCUGCUUUCCCUUGUGGAUUGCGGGUACUCGAGUGGCGAACGGGUGAGUAACACGUGAGUGAUCUGCCCCCAACUUGGGUAUAAGCCUGGGAAACUGGGUCUAAUUCCCGAUAGGACUGCAGGGUGGUGCCUGUGGUGGAAAACGAUUUUCUAGUGGUUGGGGAUGAGCUCGCGGCCUAUCAGCUUGUUGGUGGGGUAAUGGCCUACCAAGGCGGCGACGGGUAGCCGGCCUGGGAGGGUGGACGGCAACAUUGGGACUGAGAUACGGCCCAGACUGCUAUGGGAGGCAGAAGUGGGGAAUAUUGCACAGUGGGCGGAAGCCUGAUGCAGCGACGCAGCGUGGGGGAUGACGGCCUUCGGGUUGUAAACUCCUUUCGACCGCGAGGAAGCCACCUGGUUGGAAGGGUGGUGACGGUAGUGGUAGAAGAAGCACCGGCUAACUACGUG